GUAACAUUACUUGGCUGCAAGGCUGUAUGCAACAUCCUGGAGAACCAUGACAAAAAACAGUUGAGUGGUAGGACGCUGCCUGCCAGACCAGAUGCCCAGGAUACGCAGCGAAAACUUUUGGGGGCAGAACUCGCUGGGGGUGGCAAUCAGCCCAGUAAUGAAUGAAGAGAGUGAAAAGGAGAGUGAAAAAUGUUCAGAUUUGCAAAUAUUUUAAUUUUUUUUUACAUUUGUAUAUAUUUUAUAUUGUUA